rnacentral:pre_miRNA from 1 species
CCUUAUCAGUUCUCCGUCCAACAGUUACAAUGAAAAAGCUGGGCUGGAAAAGUGAUAAG